rnacentral:tRNA from 1 species
GGGAAGGUGGCUCAGUGGUAGAGAGCUUGCCUUGCAUGCACGAGGCCCUGGGUUCAAUUCCUGACCACCACA